AGAGAUACAUACGUACCCAUUGAAAAAGACAUGUAGUUGCCUGUUACUACAAAAUUACCUAUUUUCAAUUGAUUUCUAUUAUUAUAUAUUAUAGUAUUAUAAUUAUAGAAUCAUAUUCAUUUUGUGUAUGGUACAAAGAAAUUAAAUAAAAAUAUUAAUAACAUAAUAUAACUGUUAAACAUACAUAUUUAGUGUUUGUAAACAUAACCUUUUAAUUUUAUUAACCACAUAUCCAAUAAAAAGUAUUUUGAAUACUUAAAUAUAAAAACAUAUGUACUUUAUAUGUAUAUACAUUCAAUAAUUCUUGUUAUAUUAUUAUUAUCUCAAUUAUAAACAACACGUACUAUGGGACGUAGUCGUUCACCUUCUCCAGGAAGAAGAAGAGAUCGAUCUCGAGAUCGAGAUCGGGAACGCGAACGAGAUAGAGAUAGAAGAAGAAGACAUUCUCGUGAAAGAAGACGAAGAUCUGUUGAACGGGAUCGAGUAAAAUCGAGAGAAAGAGAAAGGGAUCGUGACCGUGAACGAGAUAGGCACAGACGUUCAUAUAGUAGAUCUAGAUCAAGAGAAAGAGAUAGGCCUAAACCCAAAUUAAAACCUACAACAGAACGUCCUGUUAUUACAGAAGCUGAUCUUCAAGGAAAAACACCAGAAGAACAAGAAAUGAUGAGAAUAAUGGGUUUUUGUGGUUUUGAUACUACUAAGGGCAAAAAAGUUGAAGGAAAUGAUGUGGGAGCUGUACAUGUUAUUCUUAAAAGAAAGUAUAGACAAUACAUGAACAGAAAAGGAGGAUUCAAUAGACCAUUGGAUUUUGUAGCAUAAAUUUUAUAAAUAUGACAAUUCCAUAAACAAUACAAUUUCAAAUUCUUUACAAUUCGUACGAGUUCCAUUGUUUAGUGAGCCUGAUUAGAACAAUAGGAUGUGCAAAUGGUGCUCGAAUUAUGAUGUCUUCUGCUUUUAAUCGCAUCAACAACCAUGAAGCAUUAUCCAACUUUUGUUUAAUGUGACUAUUUAAUAUAGUAUAAAUUUGUAAUAUAGUAUCUUCGCGUAUAAUUUUA